UCCUUCAGCUAAUACAAAGGGCAUGUACAUGUUUGAUAGUGUUGGUGAGCCAAUUGGAAAGGCUGUCACUGUAGGCCAGUUGGACGAUCAACUUCUAGUUCAAGCACAUCGACAUGUCUUGCGACACACUGAUGAGCUUGAUGAUCUCCGUAGAGAAUUUGUGUAUCAAGAGAAGAGGAAACCGGGUAACUUAAAUUUGACGGAUGAUGACGAUGAGGAUUUGAUUAGUAGACACUUUGCUGACUGGUUGGAACAAAAGAUGAUGGACUGGCUAUCACAGAAAAGAUAAGAGCAUUAGCCGCAAAACCAAGCAAAUGUGGGGUGCGCUAUAUAAUUAAUGGUUUCAGGUUUCAUACUAUCAGCCGCGAUACAGGACGUGUGACACAAAAUAGUGGUGUCGUGAACCUUGCUGAAAAUGGUGUGUCCUAUUAUGGCCGGUUAUCUGACAUCUUCGAAUUGUCAUACAGAGAUUACAAGGUGUUGUUCUUCAAAUGUGAUUGGUAUGAUGUUCAUCACAAAGCUGGUAUUGUAAGAGAUGAGUUUGGAUUCACUCAUGUGAACUUCUCCCGAAAAAUACAUAUAGGGGAGAAGUUAGAGGAUGAUCCUUUUGUAUUUUCUUCCCAAGUGGACCAGGUCUUUUAUAUCCAACAUCCGAGAAGUGAGAACUGGAAUACCAUGGUGAAAUUCAAACCUCGUUAUAUUUUUGACAUGGGUGGAGAACCAUCUUCAGAUGAAACAGACUAAUCUUUGUGCUUUCAGCUUGUUAUCGGCAGCUAAGAUCUAGGUUGAGCACUUGUCAUCCAUGCUCCUAGGUAGAGUUACUCCAACAUAAUUAUUGCAGCUGGGUGGAUCUUCUUCAGAAUGUAUUGAUCCCUGUGUUACUUUGUAAUGAACGAGCCUAUGGUCUUUUUUAAUGUGUAUGUUCCCUUUUGUUA